rnacentral:rRNA from 1 species
GACGAACGCUGGCGGCGUGCUUAACACAUGCAAGUCGAACGGAAAGGCCCUGCUUUUGUGGGGUGCUCGAGUGGCGAACGGGUGAGUAACACGUGAGUAACCUGCCCUUGACUUUGGGAUAACUUCAGGAAACUGGGGCUAAUACCGGAUAGGAGCUCCUGCUGCAUGGUGGGGGUUGGAAAGUUUCGGCGGUUGGGGAUGGACUCGCGGCUUAUCAGCUUGUUGGUGGGGUAGUUGCUUACCAAGGCUUUGACGGGUAGCCGGCCUGAGAGGGUGACCGGCGACAUUGGGACUGAGAUACGGCCCAGACUCCUACGGGAGGCAGAAGUGGGGAAUAUUGCACAAUGGGCGGAAGCCUGAUGCAGCAACGCCGCGUGCGGGAUGACGGCCUUCGGGUUGUAAACCGCUUUCGCCUGUGACGAAGCGUGAGUGACGGUAAUGGGUAAAGAAGCACCGGCUAACUACGUG